rnacentral:lncRNA from 1 species
UGGUUUAUGCUAUGUAGCCCUGGAUGUCCUCGGACUCACUCUAUAGGCCAAGAUGGCUUCAAACUCAAGAGGCUCAUCUGCCUCCACAUCGUGGAGUGCUGAGAUUAUAGGUGUGUGCCAUCACUGUAUUGCAAUUUUUUAAAAAAUAUAUUUGCAUGUAUGAGUGUCCUGCCUGUAUAUAUGCAUGUUUACCAUAUGCUUGCCUGGUGCCUUCAGAGGUUGGAAGAGGGCAUAAGAUCCCCCAAGGACUGGAGUAACAGAUGUGUGAAGUGGAAACUUAAGAGUACUUUGGAAAAGUCAGUUGUGUUGGAUGGUGUUUUGCUAGGGCAAACACUUGAAGGAGUGUUUUUCUGAAGUGGACACAGGUGAAAGGAUGUUCUGCUAAAGCAAGCACGUAAAAGGACACAUGAUGAAGGAUUCUUUGAUAACAACACACAUGUGUUGGUUUGUCUUAAAUUUCGUAGUUGAGCUCCAUUUGUUGGAACUCCAUAGAGAGAAACACACCAACCAACCAACCAACCAACCAACAAACAAACAAAAAAAACUUCUGGU